rnacentral:rRNA from 1 species
AUUGAACGCUGGCGGAAUGCUUUACACAUGCAAGUCGAACGGCAGCACGGGUGCUUGCACCUGGUGGCGAGUGGCGAACGGGUGAGUAAUACAUCGGAACGUACCCUGACGUGGGGGAUAACGUAGCGAAAGUUACGCUAAUACCGCAUACGUCCUGAGGGAGAAAGCAGGGGAUCGUAAGACCUUGCGCGUUAGGAGCGGCCGAUGGCGGAUUAGCUAGUUGGUAGGGUAAAGGCCUACCAAGGCGACGAUCCGUAGCGGGUCAGAGAGGACGACCCGCCACACUGGAACUGAGAAACGGUCCAGACUCCUACGGGAGGCAGCAGUGGGGAAUUUUGGACAAUGGGCGAAAGCCUGAUCCAGCCAUUCCGCGUGAGUGAAGAAGGCCUUCGGGUUGUAAAGCCCUUUCGGCAGGGAAGAAACGGUUUUGGAUAAUACCCAGAACUAAUGACGGUACCUGAAGAAGAAGCACCGGCUAACUACGUGCCAGCAGCCGCGGUAA